rnacentral:rRNA from 1 species
CGGUUAAGUUAGAAAGGGCGCACGGUGGAUGCCUUGGCACUAGGAGCCGAUGAAGGACGGGACGAACACCGAUAUGCUUCGGGGAGCUGUAAGCAAGCUUUGAUCCGGAGAUUUCCGAAUGGGGAAACCCACCACUCGUAAUGGAGUGGUAUCCAUAUCUGAAUUCAUAGGAUAUGAGAAGGCAGACCCGGGGAACUGAAACAUCUAAGUACCCGGAGGAAGAGAAAGCAAAUGCGAUUCCCUGAGUAGCGGCGAGCGAAACGGGAUUAGCCCAAACCAAGAGGCUUGCCUCUUGGGGUUGUAGGACACUCUGUACGGAGUUACAAAGGAACGAGGUAGAUGAAGAGGUCUGGAAAGGCCCGCCAUAGGAGGUAACAGCCCUGUAGUCAAAACUUCGUUCUCUCCUGAGUGGAUCCUGAGUACGGCGGAACACGUGAAAUUCCGUCGGAAUCCGGGAGGACCAUCUCCCAAGGCUAAAUACUCCCUAGUGACCGAUAGUGAACCAGUACCGUGAGGGAAAGGUGAAAAGCACCCCGGAAGGGGAGUGAAAGAGAUCCUGAAACCGUGUGCCUACAAGUAGUCAGAGCCCGUUAACGGGUGAUGGCGUGCCUUUUGUAGAAUGAACCGGCGAGUUACGAUCUCGUGCAAGGUUAAGCAGAAGAUGCGGAGCCGCAGCGAAAGCGAGUCUGAAUAGGGCGCAUGAGUACGUGGUCGUAGACCCGAAACCAGGUGAUCUACCCAUGUCCAGGGUGAAGUUCAGGUAACACUGAAUGGAGGCCCGAACCCACGCACGUUGAAAAGUGCGGGGAUGAGGUGUGGGUAGGGGUGAAAUGCCAAUCGAACCUGGAGAUAGCUGGUUCUCUCCGAAAUAGCUUUAGGGCUAGCCUCAAGGUAAGAGUCUUGGAGGUAGAGCACUGAUUGGACUAGGGGCCCCUACCGGGUUACCGAAUUCAGUCAAACUCCGAAUGCCAAUGACUUAUCCUUGGGAGUCAGACUGCGAGUGAUAAGAUCCGUAGUCGAAAGGGAAACAGCCCAGACCGCCAGCUAAGGUCCCAAAGUAUACGUUAAGUGGAAAAGGAUGUGGAGUUGCUUAGACAACCAGGAUGUUGGCUUAGAAGCAGCCACCAUUUAAAGAGUGCGUAAUAGCUCACUGGUCGAGUGACUCUAAAUGUACCGGGGCUAAACGUAUCACCGAAGCUGCGGACUGUUCUUCGAACAGUGGUAGGAGAGCGUUCUAAGGGCUGUGAAGCCAGACCGGAAGGACUGGUGGAGCGCUUAGAAGUGAGAAUGCCGGUAUGAGUAGCGAAAGAGGGGUGAGAAUCCCCUCCACCGAAUGCCUAAGGUUUCCUGAGGAAGGCUCGUCCGCUCAGGGUUAGUCGGGACCUAAGCCGAGGCCGAAAGGCGUAGGCGAUGGACAACAGGUUGAUAUUCCUGUACCACCUCCUCACCAUUUGAGCAAUGGGGGGACGCAGGAGGAUAGGGUAAGCGCGGUAUUGGAUAUCCGCGUCCAAGCAGUUAGGCUGGGAAAUAGGCAAAUCCGUUUCCCAUAAGGCUGAGCUGUGAUGGCGAGCGAAAUAUAGUAGCGAAGUUCCUGAUUCCACACUGCCAAGAAUCUAGCGAGGUGAGAGGUGCCCGUACCGCAAACCGACACAGGUAGGCGAGGAGAGAAUCCUAAGGUGAUCGAGAGAACUCUCCCGGUGCUGGAAGGUUAAGAGGAGCGCUUAGCGUAAGCGAAGGUGCGAAUUGAAGCCCCAGUAAACGGCGGCCGUAACUAUAACGGUCCUAAGGUAGCGAAAUUCCUUGUCGGGUAAGUUCCGACCCGCACGAAAGGCGCAACGAUCUGGGCACUGUCUCAACGAGAGACUCGGUGAAAUUAUAGUACCUGUGAAGAUGCAGGUUACCCGCGACAGGACGGAAAGACCCCGUGGAGCUUUACUGCAGCCUGAUAUUGAAUGUUGGUACAGCUUGUACAGGAUAGGUAGGAGCCUUGGAAACCGGGAGGCAUCGGUGGGAUACUACCCUGGCUGUAUUGACCUUCUAACCCGCCGCCCUUAUCGGGCGGGGAGACAGUGUCAGGUGGGCAGUUUGACUGGGGCGGUCGCCUCCUAAAAGGUAACGGAGGCGCCCAAAGGUUCCCUCAGAAUGGUUGGAAAUCAUUCGCAGAGUGUAAAGGCACAAGGGAGCUUGACUGCGAGACCUACAAGUCGAGCAGGGACGAAAGUCGGGCUUAGUGAUCCGGUGGUUCCGCAUGGAAGGGCCAUCGCUCAACGGAUAAAAGCUACCCCGGGGCUCCCCCAAGAGUCCACAUCGACGGGGAGGUUUGGCACCUCGAUGUCGGCUCAUCGCAUCCUGGGGCUGUAGUCGGUCCCAAGGGUUGGGCUGUUCGCCCAUUAAAGCGGUACGCGAGCUGGGUUCAGAACGUCGUGAGACAGUUCGGUCCCUAUCCGUCGCGGGCGCAGGAAAUUUGAGAGGAGCUGUCCUUAGUACGAGAGGACCGGGAUGGACGCACCGCUGGUGUACCAGUUGUUCUGCCAAGGGCAUCGCUGGGUAGCUAUGUGCGGACGGGAUAAGUGCUGAAAGCAUCUAAGCAUGAAGCCCCCCUCAAGAUGAGAUUUCCCAUUCCGCAAGGAAGUAAGAUCCCUGAAAGAUGAUCAGGUUGAUAGGUCUGAGGUGGAAGUGUGGCGACACAUGGAGCUGACAGAUACUAAUCGAUCGAGGACUUAACCAUAUUU